AUACGGAGGGUGCGAGCGUUACUCGGAGUCACUGGGCGUAAAGCGUCCGUAGGCGGUCGGGUAAGUCGGGUGUGAAAGCCCCGGGCUCAACCUGGGAAGUGCACCUGAUACUGCUCGACUCGAGUGCGGGAGAGGAUGGCGGAAUUCCCGGUGUAGCGGUGAAAUGCGUAGAGAUCGGGAGGAACACCAGUGGCGAAGGCGGCCAUCUGGCCCGCAACUGACGCUGAGGGACGAAAGCGUGGGGAGCAAACAGGAUUAGAUACCCUAGUAGUCC
rnacentral:rRNA from 1 species